rnacentral:tRNA from 1 species
GGGGUUGUAGCUCAGGGACAGAGUGCUUACCUAGUGUGUAUGAGACCCUGGGUUCCAUCCCCAGCACCG